GCCGGGAUGUCCGAGUGGUCAAAGGAAGCAGACUGUAAAUCUGCCGGCUUUACGCCUACGGAGGUUCGAAUCCUUCUCCCGGCACCG
rnacentral:tRNA from 1 species